AGAGUUUGAUCAUGGCUCAGAGCGAACGCUGGCGGCAGGCUUAACACAUGCAAGUCGAACGCACCUUUCGGGGUGAGUGGCAGACGGGUGAGUAACACGUGGGAACGUACCUCUUUGUUCGGAAUAGCUUCUGGAAACGGAAGGUAAUACCGGAUACGCCCUUUUGGGGAAAGAUUUAUCGCAGAGAGAUCGGCCCGCGU
rnacentral:rRNA from 1 species